rnacentral:lncRNA from 1 species
GGGCUUGCUGUUCCUCUAAUCAGUAGUCAGGAAGCCCUUACCCCAAAAAGUAUCUGCGAGAGACCUGGUCGGCAGAUGUGGUCCCCUAGGGCCAAGGCAACGGUCAAAUUCAACAAGGGAAAAGGGAAGAGAUAGAGGAAUGGAGAAAGGCUGGUCCCUCUCUCCUUCCAAUCCAGGCCACUGUUGGCUUUGUGUCUCUACCCCACCAAAUGGCAUAGGACUGUUGGCAGCACCUGGGGUUCACAUCAACAGCAUUCUCCUUCACCUUUGGAAGAUUUUGCAGGGCCAAGUAAACAGAGGAGUACCACAAUGAUAAUCUGCUUAUGUCGUGCUGCCUCCAGAAACCAGCUGGGCCUGUUCAGCUCUCACCUUUCUACCAUUGCCAAAGUGGGCCCAGCUACUUGAACCCACCAAAGGACAGAUUUGAGAACUUAAAGAGAAUGAAAAAGCACCAGGGAAGAACAAAGGUCUUCAAGAGAGUUCAAGCUGAGUUGGUGAGCCUCUCCUUCUGGAAGACCACAGCAACCCAGAAUGGUCAAUUUCAUUUAGGCGUCCACUUGGAUAAGUAGGAAGACUCAGGGAACAAGCUUUAAUUGGGUUCCGGGAAUGGAAUUCAUAGUAGGAAGAGAAUUUAGAUGAGGCAAAAUUAUGUAGUUCUGUGUUUAAGCAUUUUUGUUCAUUUUAAGUAUACCUGGAGGAAAAAUUGAUAUUUCUGAGUAUAUGAAUGUUUUCCUGUGUGCACUGGAGCUUUAUAAAAGCCCUUUAUUUACUGUCUUGUGAACAAGACCUGUUUUAUAACAAAAUUGUCUAGGGCUCUAGAACAGAAUUAAGGUCCUUGCCAAAUCUUGAGGUAUUUUUACUAGUCAUAAUGCUGCUAGCAUUGUAAAACCUGCACUAUGCAUGAAGGGCUUGGACCUUCUUGAAAAAAAAAGAAAAGAUGAAAGGAGAAGUGGUGAUAGAUAAGGAAGGUCAUUAUGAUUGCAGUAUUUGAGACUGACUAUAGUGGGUAAAGGGUGGACAUAAAGAGGGGAAGAUUGGUGCAAUGUUCAAGUUGAAGGGAUGAACAGAGUACAGAAGAAGGGUUUGGCACUAAAAGGUGGAGAGGGGGUGGCGAGGGAGAGAGAGAGAAAGAAUCAGAAACAUGGGCUUGGAACUCUUUUCUCAACUCCAUCCCCUCCUGAUGAGCGCUGUAUAUGAUUCCUUCCACUUCACACACAUACUUUUGUUCAAGCUUUCUCAAAUGAAGAACAGGUUUCAGUCCCCCUCCCAUUAAAGGAGUCUUCCCAUCUUCCAAGUCAUAGCCUGAAGUCCAUCUCCUCUACAGUCUUCUUUCUAAUCUCCCCCACCCUUGCACACACACACACACACACACACACACACUUCAUUCACGUAUAGGCUCAAAUUCAGCUAUGGUUGAUUAUAUGUUCAUCUGUUUCCAUUGUAAAAUCCUCAGGACUGUCUGGAAUCCAGGGGACUCAAUGGCUUGUUCCCCAAGGACAAAUACAUUCAUAUAAGUCUGUUAAAUAAAUAAAAGGAUUUGAAAAGUAUGUGCACAAGGCUUGUAUGUAAUUUGCAAUUGAC